UUAAACGGCCGCGGUACCCUAACCGUGCAAAGGUAGCACAAUCACUUGUUCUCUAAAUCAGGACUAGUAUGAACGGCCCAACGAGAGCUAUGCUGUCUCCCCCCCCUAAUCAGUGAAACUGAUCCCCUCGUGAAGAAGCGAGGAUACCCCAAUAAGACGAGAAGACCCCAUGGAACUUUAAACUAGUAUCACCCCCUACACUAAGGCCACAUGACUACUAGUCUUUCGGCUGGGGCGACCACGGAGAAAAAUAAAACCCCCGAGAUGAAAGGAAAUAUCCUUAUCCCAGAACUACUAUUCAAAGAAUCAAUAAAUGACAUAAUUGACCCAAUACUUGAUCAACGAACCAAGCUACCCUGGGGAUAACAGCGCAAUCCAUUUCAAGAGACCUCAUCGACAAAUGGGCUUACGACCUCGAUGUUGGAUCAGGGUAUCCUAGUGGUGCAGCCGCUACUAAAGGUUCGUUUGUUCAAC
rnacentral:rRNA from 1 species